rnacentral:rRNA from 1 species
GAUGAACGCUGGCGGCGUGCCUAAUACAUGCAAGUCGAGCGAACGGACGCGAAGCUUGCUUCUCUGAUGUUAGCGGCGGACGGGUGAGUAACACGUGGAUAACCUACCUAUAAGACUGGGAUAACUUCGGGAAACCGUAGCUAAUACCGGAUAAUAUUUUGAACCGCAUGGUUCAAAAGUGAAAGACGGUCUUGCUGUCACUUAUAGAUGGAUCCGCGCUGCAUUAGCUAGUUGGUAAGGUAACGGCUUACCAAGGCAACGAUGCAUAGCCGACCUGAGAGGGUGAUCGGCCACACUGGAACUGAGACACGGUCCAGACUCCUACGGGAGGCAGCAGUAGGGAAUCUUCCGCAAUGGGCGAAAGCCUGACGGAGCAACGCCGCGUGAGUGAUGAAGGUCUUCGGAUCGUAAAACUCUGUUAUUAGGGAAGAACAUAUGUGUAAGUAACUGUGCACAUCUUGACGGUACCUAAUCAGAAAGCCACGGCUAACUACGUG